rnacentral:misc_RNA from 1 species
GAAAUGCGAUACUUGGUGUGAAUUGCAGAAUCCCGCAAACCAUCGAGUCUUUGAAUGCAAGUUGCACCCGAAGCCGUUAGGUUGAGGGCACGUCUGCCUGGGCGUCUCACGUUGCGUCGCCCGCGCCCCCUCCCCCCCCACGAAGGGGAAAGAAGGGCUGCGGGCGGAUGUUGGCCGCCCGUGUGCGCCCUCGCGCGGUCCGCCCAAAAGCGAGUCCCCCGUGACGAACGAUACGUCACGAUGAGUGGUGGCUGACAAACCGUUGCGUCGCCUCGCGCGCGUCCGGUCCAUCUCGGGAGGCCUGUCGUGACCCUAUCGCGCCGCCGCCAAGGCGCUCCGAUCGCUACCCCAGGUCAGGCGGGAUUACCCGCUGAGUUUAA